GCUGGGAUGUGAUGGGGAGCGAAAUUUAGUAGCGAAGUAGCUGAUUUCACACUGUCAAGAAAAGUCUCUAUCGAGGUUAAAGGUACCCGUACCGCAAACCGACACAGGUGGGUGAGGAGAGUAUCCUAAGGCCAGCGAGAGAACUGUUGUUAAGGAACUCGGCAAAAUGACCCCGUAACUUAGGGAUAAGGGGUGCCACCAUCCGGUGGCCGCAGAGAAUAGGCCCAAGCGACUGUUUACCAAAAACAUAGGUUUCUGCUAAGUCGCAAGACGAUGUAUAGGAGCUGACGCCUGCCCGGUGCUGGAAGGUUAAGGGGAUCUGUUAGAGCAAUCGAAGCAGUGAACUUAAGCCCCAGUAAACGGCGGCCGUAACUAUAACGGUCCUAAGGUAGCGAAAUUCCUUGUCGGGUAAGUUCCGACCCGCACGAAAGGCGUAACGAUUUGGGCACUGUCUCAACAACAGACUCGGUGAAAUUGUAAUUCCGGUGAAGAUGCCGGAUACCUGCGACAGGACGGAAAGACCCCAUGGAGCUUUACUGUAGCUUGACAUUGGGUCUUGGUACUACAUGUACAGGAUAGGUGGGAGGCUUUGAAACCAGGACGCCAGUUUUGGCGGAGCCAUCCUUGGGAUACCACCCUUGUAGUACUGGGACUCUAACCAUAGGCCAUGAAUCUGGUCUUGGGACACUGUCAGGUGGGCAGUUUGACUGGGGCGGUCGCCUCCCAAAAGGUAACGGAGGCGCUCAAAGGUUCUCUCAGUACGGUCGGAAAUCGUACGUAGAGUGUAAAGGCAAAAGAGAGCUUGAUUGCAAGACAUACAGGUCGAGCAAGGAUGAAAAUCGGACUUAGUGAUCCGGUGGUUCUGCGUGGAAGGGCCAUCGCUCAACGGAUAAAAGCUACCCUGGGGAUAACAGGCUUAUCUCCCCCAAGAGUCCACAUCGACGGGGAGGUUUGGCACCUCGAUGUCGGCUCAUCACAUCCUGGGGCUGUAGUAGGUCCCAAGGGUUGGGCUGUUCGCCCAUUAAAGUGGUACGCGAGCUGGGUUCAGAACGUCGUGAGACAGUUCGGUCCCUAUCCGUCGCAGGCGUAGGAAAUUUGAGAAGACCUGUCCUUAGUACGAGAGGACCGGGAUGGACG
rnacentral:rRNA from 1 species